ACUAAUCUUCAGUAAGUAGAAAUAGCAAGGUCUUUUCUGCCUACCAACAGGGUUAUAAACCUUGAAACGUCAGUAUGCCAAGCCUUACUGGAUUUUGUUGUCAUGGUGGUUGAAUAUCCAGCUGAAGCGUACCUGACAAAUCCAUGUGGACAUUCACUGUAACAAUGACUUCCAAAGAGUUAGAUCCCCGGGCCCCCAGAGACAAGUCGACAGAAUGAGAAAUCGCCGUUUCCCAAAGACACGCAGCAGUGAGGAUUCUCGUUCAGAAGGCCCUGCAAAAUCAAAAAUGAAAAAAGAGACAUCGUGCCCCUCCCCUCGCCACCCUGUCUGUCCCCCUGGUUCUGCCAGAACUCCACCGGCUUGCCAAGAGCCACCCAGGAACAGAUUUCCUGUCUCAUCUGCUGCAU